UACGGGGGUGGCGAGCGUUACUCGGAUUUAUUGGGUGUAAAGGGCAGGUAGGCGGGCCGAAAAGUCCCCUUUGAAAUCCUCCGGCUUAACCGGAGAACUGGGGGGGAAACUUUCGGUCUUGAGGCCAACAGAGGAGAGUGGAAUUCCCGGUGUAAGGGUGAAAUCUGUAGAUAUCGGGAGGAACACCAGUGGCGAAGGCGGCUCUCUGGGUUGGCCCUGACGCUCAAGCUGCGAAAGCUAGAGUA
rnacentral:rRNA from 1 species